rnacentral:tRNA from 1 species
GCCCUGGUGGUGCAAUGGUUAAGCACUUGGCUGCUAACUGAAAGGUUGGUGGUUCGAACCCACUCAAUGGCU